rnacentral:sRNA from 1 species
GCCGGGAGUGGUGGUGCAUGCCUGUAAUCCCAGUGGCUCAGGAGGCUGAGACAGGAGGAUCGCGAGUUUAAAGCCAGUAUUGGCAAUUUAGAAGGCUGUAAGCCACCUAGUGAGACCCUGUCUCAA